rnacentral:rRNA from 1 species
UACGUAGGGGGCUAGCGUUGUCCGGAUUUACUGGGCGUAAAGAGCGCGCAGGCGGCUGGUCAAGUCCGAUGUGAAAUCUCCCGGCUCAACUGGGAAACUGCAUCGGAAACUGAUCGGCUUGAAGAUGGGAGAGGGUAGUGGAAUUCCCGGUGUAGUGGUGAAAUGCGUAGAUAUCGGAAGGAACACCAGUGGCGAAAGCGGCUUCCUGGUCCAGCACCGACGUUCAGGCACGAAAGCGUGGGGAGCAAACAGG